AUACGGAGGAUCCGAGCGUUAUCCGGAUUUAUUGGGUUUAAAGGGAGCGUAGGUGGAUUGUUAAGUCAGUUGUGAAAGUUUGCGGCUCAACCGUAAAAUUGCAGUUGAAACUGGUCCCCUUGAGUGCGUAAGGGGCAGGCGGAAUUCGUCGUGUAGCGGUGAAAUGCUUAGAUAUGACGAAGAACUCCGAUCGCGAAGGCAGCUGGCCGGGCCGCAACUGACGCUGAAGCUCGAAGGUGCGGGUAUCGAACAGGAUUAGAUACCCUGGUAGUCCGCACAGUAAACGAUGGAUACUCGCUGUCGGCGAUAUACGGUCGGUGGCCAAGCGAAAGCGUUAAGUAUCCCACCUGGGGAGUACGCCGGCAACGGUGAAACUCAAAGGAAUUGGCGGGG
rnacentral:rRNA from 1 species